GGGCGACCAGCCCAAAAAUUGAGCCAGCAGCCCACAACUCCAUUCCACCCCUAACCCGUCCAGCCCAACAGGUGCAGCAACCACAACGGCCCAGACACCUCUUUUCCAACCCAUUCUCUCCUUAUCAGAUUAACCCAGCCCAAUACCUCGAGACCCGGCCCAAUAACCCUUUUCCCUUACCCAAACACCAACAGAGCAACAACAAACGCUACAACAGCGUGCAACUUCAGCCCACCGUACAACAAAAUAACAGCAAUUUCACGACAAUAACAACGCCAAACUAGCCGUUUUCAUUUUUUUUUACCCUUUUAUCCCUUCCUACAACCAAGAAUGGCUACAAAGUCAUCCAUUUUUCCCCUUUUCAGGCCAUGUUCGCCCUAUUCGGGCAAAGAAUUAAUUCUCAACAGCUCUUUGUUUUGUCUCACUAUGGACUUCAACUUUUCAAAAAAUAGUCUCAAAAUUUGGACUUGAAGUCCAUAUUUUCAAAAUCUGAAGCCCUAAUUCUUUCCCUAUAAAUAGAGAUGAGGGUAAGGGGGAGGAUUUUUUGGGGGAAAAAUUGAGUAUUCCGGAGGCGCGUGCUUCUAAUCCUAUCUAACCCAAAAAACUCCCGAAGAAAGUACUCAAAAACCCAAUUCCGACGAAAGUUAAACCCCAAAAAUUCGAAAUUUAAACGUGGUCCGGUUCGCUGUCCGAAAUUCGAAAUUCGUCUUCGCUGUUCCGGUUCGCUGUCCGAAAAAAGAGGGAAACCCAAGAUUUGAAGUUUGGGGAUGCACCACCAUUGUCAAAGGCGCGCAUAAGUCCGGAAUAAAGACUCAAAAUGUGUUGAUCCUCGUCUCGUUUAAUGUGCAGUUUAGAUUUUAAUUUUUAAGACAUACUUUCCCAUCUCAAUAAGACUUUUCUGAAGAUACGAACACAAAACAAUUGAUACUUUAUAAAAAAAUAAUAAUCAAUUUUUGUGUUCAUAUAUUUGUCAUUCAUGCUUAUAUUAUUAGUCUUGAACUAGACAUAUUUUUAUAUUUUUUCUCCUUUAUGCCUUUUUUUAUUAAAUCUCACGUUUUAUUUGUACGUUGUGCUUAAAUAUAAUGGACCUUGAAACUUUUUUGCC